rnacentral:lncRNA from 1 species
AUGCAUUUAUUAUUAGCUAUUAUUAAUGCAGAAAGAGGGGACAAAAAGCUCACAAACAACCUAUACAAUUUCACAAGAAGCACUGUGGGGGGAAAAAUAACUGGACAGAUCAACAGUAUCCUAGGGUCUUGGUGGAUGCAUUCCUGGGGGAGGUGGACCUCUAAUUCCUGGUGGAGGAGGUCUCAUUCCUGGAGGAGGCAUGCCUAUUGGUGUCCCUCGAGCAGGAGGAAGCCCAAUUGGUGGGCCCAUUGGUGGUCUCAUACCAGGUGGGGGAGCCAUAAUGCCUAAACUAAGAAAAGGCAAAAUACUUUCCAAUUCAAGUAACUUUUCUCAAAAAUCUAGAAAACAAAAAACACCCACUACUUAUUAGUAUGUAAAAUACUAUCCCUAACAUCCAGCACCACACCUAGCAAACAGUAUAUAUUUCAAAAAUCAAUUAUGAAGUUCUAAGAAUUUGUAGACCACGUCUAUUUCAGUUUUGUUUCCUCAGUGUCUGGCAGAUUAUUUGGCAGGGUAUUCAUUUCAUUUCAUAUUUUCCCAUUCUCUUAAACCAAAAGUUUAUUUGAAUUUUAAAAACCUUUUCUUUAUAAUUUUAGACUCACCGCAGAAGUGCCAGGUCUGUCUAAUUCUAUGCUAUAUUUCCAAUACACAGUCAAUGCUGUAUAUAUAUUAGGGGCUCAAACGUUUGAAUAAAUGCAUGCACAUGCCUCAUGUUCUAUAGAAAAAAAAACAUAAACCUGUCAAUACUGUAAUUCCUCAUCAGAGUUCCUAUAAAACAAAUGUAUGAAAAAAUUACUGCUGGGAAGCCCUGUUUUAGGAAAAAGUGACAAUUAGAAGCAGCAGUGGAAUAAGCUGAUCACAAUAAGUGACUAAAAUCAGCGUCAUUGUUUUGGAUCCCAGAAACAUUUGGUAUAAAUAGCAUACUGAAUUUCUGUGUGCUUUCUUACCAAAAAGAAAACAUUAAAAAUUCCAGUGUCCCAAAAAUUGUCUCACCAAUAACACAAUGGUUUUUUACCUGAGAUUCCCUACAAUCAAUUUUCUAAUGUAAAAAGGCAACUUUUCACAUUGCUUUAAAAAGUCUUAAUUAUUUCCUCUUCUGUUUCACAAAAGCUGAUUCUAAUCCCAAGGGGAAGAGGAAGACAAAGCAAGGAAAUGUAUAUAUGUAACCCUUAGACCCUUCCACCAACUAAACAAGGAGGUGCCUGCAAUACUAACUUCGAGAGAUAACUCUUACAGGAAACCUAAGAAAAAACAGAUUAUAAAAUGGAAACUACUCUCUAGUACAAAUAAUUCUCCCAAAAAGGAAACAAAAGUAGUAUGUAGCAAUUAUAAAAAUGAUCUCUUCUGUAUACCGGGGUCUACUUUUAUUACAAUGAAAGGGACCCUUUAUUCAACGUGCGUCCUUCAGGAAUGUUUCUAAAAAUAAAAGGUCUUGAACCACAGAUGAGUUAUUUGCAGCAAGUUGGUCGCAUGAGUUGUUUCUGGGAGUGCUGAUAUACUCUUGUCAGCAAGUGCAAAGAAGCUUAGAAGUCACUCUUCUUUCCCACGUGCUGCAUCUUUCAGGAGGAUAUACAACCUUGUCCCCGAAGUGAAGGCCUCUGCAAUCCUGACUGCAAAGUAGUAACACAUUCAAGGUAAACACUAAAAAUAUUUCAUGUCCAACACUACAAUCUACAUCUAUGAUUUAUAUUGCUACCCUCUGUGUCAGAAAACAUCUGAGCUGAUUCUACAAAGGUCUCGAUGAGGUUCUAACAUGAUGUUUGCUGCUAGGCUUACACAAAAAUCUACAGACGCUCAAACUAUACUAAGUGGGUAAAUGGCUGAUGAGAGACGAGGUGAACAAAACAUACACAGGUAGGUACAAGUGGGGCUUUUCUUAAGAAACGCAAGGUCUGGGGGCUGAGGUAAUAAUCUCGCUUCCCACUGUCCCCAGGAGAAGCUCUCUUGGUAAAUGAAGCUCGGCUCAAGAUUCAGAAGCAUCUAAUAGAAAUGUUAUUUCCUGUCAAAACAGGUUUACAAUUGUCUGAAUCUCCCUACCAGGUAAAAAAUCUCCCUACUAGGCAACUGGACUGGGGGUGUAGCUCAGUGAUGCAGCUCCUGCUUAACACAUACAAAGCCCUGGGGUGAUUCCCAGCACCACAAACCAAACAAUCAACAAAGUAAGUAAAAUCAAGGUGGGCAACUCAACUGAAAGGAUAGUCACUGGCACCGUUCUCCAUGUGGCAACCUCUGCAGUGCAGUAUUCCUUUCUUCUUUCUUAACCUUUUUGCUUCUCACCCCUUCAUCUUCUUCCCUAUGCCUCAAACAUGCCAGGGUGAACCCAGAGGUUUGGCCCAGUGCUAACCCAAAGCAAGAGGUUUCCCGCCCCUCUGGGCACUGACUUGAUGCCGACAGAUAAUGCAGAGGCACGAGAGCCCCUUCAGGCCACGCCUGUUGUUUCUCUGUGCCCACAAGGAACAGGCAUUCCAACACACUCAGUGCUGGCUGGCAUCUUUGUAACACAUGAUGUUUUACUUUAAAUCACAGAAAACCAAUAUAAAUGUG